CGACGUCCGAGAUAAGGAGAGAAAUACGACAGCAGAUCAAGAGGUCUAUAAGCUACAAAAAGGUUGAAGUUGUCAGGAGGUUCCAGUCACUAGUCUCCACACUGAGUCGCGACGGUUUUCUAUUUUUGGACUUUUGAUUUCCUUGUUAUGUUCCUACAUACUUGUGAUGUGUGGUUGUACUCGAU